UUAAAGUUAAAGUUUAUCUAGGGCACAAAUUUGCUUACGAACUCAUAUUCUCUCUCUCUAUCAAAGUCGCCCACUUUCUCUCAUCUUCAAUAAUGUGAGAUACUUGCUUCCAAUACAACAAAUUGGGCGUGAAUCUAAGGCUCAUAUACAAUGGGAACAUAGAUAUCCAUAUUUUGUUUUCUAAUUUUGCUGGUUCAUAGCUUUUCCUGGUUUCUUUGAACAUGCCAUCAAAUGGGUUUGCGUGGUUUCUUCAAAUGAGUCUUUUAGUGAGUUCAAGAUUACUUUUUUCCACUGUAUUUUGAUUUUAUAUACACUUUAGUUCUACCUCUUUGUAUAGAAUUUGAUGGCUGCUUUGAAUACUACUUUAACCCUCUAGAUCUAGUAUUCUCUUUACUAAUCUUUUUAUUUGGAGGAUUACAUAGUGGACCCCAGCUAUUUAGGAUUGAGUUGUAGUUGUUGUAUGGCUGUGUUGAAAUACUUUUUGGUUCUAGCAAUUUUGUUGAAUUUGACAGCAAUUUUUUACUUUUAACGAUGCUGUUUUUUUUGGAUAAGGUAAUAAUGCUGCUUUAAUCUUCUGGAUCUGGUAUUCUGUUUGUUAAUUUAGAUCUUAGUUCAAUUCUAAGUUAGAUUUAGGCUAUGUGAUAUAUAGCAGGUGAAUUUAUACUUCCUCCUAUUUUCUUGAUUUGGUUCUACCUUUGCUGUAAGUUUGCUUCAAUUUUAUGUCUUUCAUUGAAUGUGGUGUUAAAAGGUGCUUUAUAUUGUCGGGUUAUUAUUUGAGCUUCUAUUCAUGGCUUGUGUUUACUUAUUUUUUAUUGUAAUCUUUUAUUGUUCUGAUUAUUGUAGAUUAAAUUGAUAUGAUUUUCAUGCUUCAAUGGCUGGUUGAUACACAUUUACUCUAGUCUCUUUCAAGUUAGAUAUUGUAUCUGAAAUUAUUAUGCUUUAUCUCAUAAACAUGAUGAGAUUUAAUGCAACUUUUUUGAAAUAUUCCUUUUGGAUUUUUAAGUGAAGUGAAAGACGAAUUCGCCCUUUGAAAUUCUUUGUUAGCUAUCUCGACGGUAUUGCUACAAUGAGUACUAUUAUUAAAUAAUGGUUAAAGUUCAUCUAGUUGACUAUUAUUAAUCUCAAAAGUAAAAAAAGUUUAUCUACUUGAUUGUCAUUUUCUGUUUGUAGUUUGACCAAUUAUUUUAUGAUUUCUUGUUAUUUUCCAGUUAUGCAAUCUUGAAAAUGAUCUAAGGUACUAAUUCUUUCCAAAAGGAAGGAUCAACAUGUACUGUUGAUUUAGCUGCCAGUUAUAUUAGAGAAGCUUGUGACAACAUGUAUUUAAAUAGAGACAUUGAUUAAUUCUCUUUCAUCAUUACAAUUUGCUUUCGUGGGCCAUAAAAUUAUAUAAAUUGAUACUUAUUUGUCCUGCCAAAAGAAAUUUUUGGAAUGCAUUAAUGACCUCUCAUUUGUUUCCUAUUAUGCUACAAGUCUUCAACAUCCUGCUACAACACUCAUUUUAAAAUGUUUCAGUACAAGUCAUUUACAUGUUAAAUGUAUUAUGAACACAUUAGAGAUCCCAAUUACUUUACUGUUUCCUGAUGCGUAUAUUGUUUGCAUUGCUUUAUUCAUCCAUGGAUUAUUGUUUCUUGAUACUGCUCCAGUGGGUACAUAAAUAAAUGUAUUGUUGUUCUAUCUCACUAUUUAGGCCAUUACCUCAUCUAGUGUGAAGAAAGGCGAGUUCCUUUUAGCUGAUGUAAACACUCAGCUAAAGAACAAAAACUUCACAACUGAUUGUUUUAUGAAGAAAGGCGAGUUCCUUAUAGUUUAUUUCUCUUUGCUCUUAUUCGGAUUGUUUCAUGUUCUAUUAUAGUGAUGUUCAUGUCUGAUGUGAUUGGAUAAGCUAAUUGAGACCAUAUUUGGUUUCGACCAUUUAUGGCAAGGAUUUGUAGCAAGUAACCUCAUUGGAUUUUGGUAUCAAUCAACAUUUUUAUGAUUAAGUUAGGAUUUAAGAAAAAAGUUACGAAAACAGGAAUAAGAAAGCUAUGUCCAUUCCUUUUAAAAUUAAAUAGGAGGAAACGUUAGGACUCAAGUUUUUAUUCUGCUUUAAAAUUAUAUGUUUUGACUCAAGUUGAGCUUUUUGUUUACAAGAGUGCACCUAGGCUGAUGUAUUUUCUUGGAUAAUAAUAUCUUAUGAUAUUCUUUUUUACGCCAUCCAUGUCUACUUACUUGACCUAUAUUCUAUUUUUCUUUUUCAUCUAUCUAGUUCACUUGCACUUUUUUCCAAAAGAAGAAACUAUAUUCCUUACUUGUCACCUUUUCACUGUUACAUAAACUUCCAUGUUAAACUCUUUAAUAUUAAUAUCUAAAAAAAGCUUUGUCAUUCUACAUUUCCUGAAACUGAGCCGUAAUUAAGUUAGAGUAGUGAAGGCUCACCUGAGAAUUCAUGACAUAAGUAUCAGCAGCAACAUAAAGUGAAGCAACACGAGUGGUUGCUGAAGUCCAUAGUAUCGUGUUUGACAAGUUAUAAUGCUAGUUUAGAAAGUUGAGAAGUUCUUUAACAAAAGGCACCUUAUUGUUCCGGAUCCAACUGAGCCAAUAAGAACCUUAAGCUUCUCUCCCUGCUAUCUUUGUCAAUUUGAUGUUAUUAUCAUCACAUAGUGGAAAGAAAAAAGCUAUAUAUCUUUUACGUUGUCUUGCUCUAAAUACUUUGCCCACAUUGGAGUUGAUUUCGGAGGUGGAAAUUGAGAUUGGGAGCUUCAAAACCAGUUUGGAGACUUCUCUGCAAUCAAAAGCUAGCCAUGUCACUAAUGAGCUUUGAAGAGUCUUUAAUUUACAUGGAAGUUCAAGAAACAAAUUAAAAUAUUCUUUCCAGGUGCUUCCUUAAACUAACAAGAUUUUGAAGGGUCGAGAUCCAACACCAAGUGAGAUACAUUUGCACAUUCAUACACAUGGUAGUGAUGAAAAAUUAUUUGUUGGUGAGAAAUCCCGAAUUGUACAUGAAAACUAUCAAGAAAUAUUACAGCAGCAAACACACAGUCAAUCUGAUAUUGAUUAGUGUAAAGCAUAUUACGAAGCUGCGGAAGGAGAAAUGAAAAGAAGAGUAUAUGGUCUUGGAUCUCAAGAAAAAUGCUAUUAUGAGCCGAAUCUUCAUGACUCUUUUGGAUCUGAUGCAACAUCCUCAGCAACACCUUCAAAUGCUCAAUCAACACUGAUAAGGAAUAUGGAUAAGUUAGUGACACGAUUGAUUCUUAUGGUGACAGAUCAUAUAGUUCCUGUAAUCAUUGAGCAGGACCUGAGACAGGUACUACCGGAGGACCUAUCGGCGCGCACCCACGUUAUCUAGAGGUUUAGUGAUGGUGAGGACGCGCUCUAAUGAGGUUCCAGACCAGGGAAGAGCUACUCCCCAUGUUGCUAGAGGCCAAGGCAGAGGUCGAGGGAGGGCUCCAGCCCGUGGUAGAGGACGAGGACGUCCAAGAAUUGUUCCAUUUAUGCCACCAGUGGGUCCAGAAGAGGAUCCUAUCAUUGAGGAACACGGUGAGGUGCCCGUGGCAGAGCCAGCUCCGGUGGAUUUCACAUCUGCACCGGGAUUCCAGGAGGUCAUGGGCCGUAUGCUGCAAUUCAUGGACACUAUGACUCAGGCCGGUUUAUUUCCAGCAAACCCAGCCACAUCUCAAGUGGGGGAGGGGAGCUUAGACCCCUAACGCACAGGCUCAUGGGUAGGCAACUAUUGUAUAUCAGACCCAGGGUGCACUACUCGUGGGUGGAGUCCAGCCAGUGGCAGCAGCAACACCUGAGC